UUUCCGUAGGUGAACCUGCGGAAGGAUCAUUAAUGUGUUUGGGCCUCACGGCUCUUCAUUCCGUCGCUGUGCGCCUUCGGGCUGCACGCUGAGGGAGCAUAUAUCCACCCCUGUGCACACACACGGUGGCGAGCUGGGUAACGGCUCGCCGCUGAUCUUUACACACGUCUAAAAGUCAUUGUAUGUUUAUUUGAGAUAAAAACACAACUUUCAGCAACGGAUCUCUUGGCUCUC
rnacentral:misc_RNA from 1 species